rnacentral:rRNA from 1 species
UACGGAGGGUGCGAGCGUUGUCCGGAAUCACUGGGCUUAAAGGGCGCGUAGGCGGCCGGGUUGGUCGUGGGUGAAAUCCCCCCAGCUUAACUGGGGAACUGCCUACGAUACUGCCUGGCUCGAGGGAGGAAGGGGCGGUCGGAACUGUCGGUGGAGCGGUGAAAUGCGUUGAUAUCGACAGGAACGCCGGGUGGCGAAAGCGGACCGCUGGCCCUCUUCUGACGCUGAGGCGCGAAAGCCAGGGGAGCGAACGGG